AGAUCUGGUGAGACAGCAUGGGAAGAAAUAACACAUGGGCUUUUGUGCAGCUGGAUAUAAUGAAGGUAAAUUGGGUGGAAUUCAAAGAUUUGCCAGAAAAAAGAGAGAUGAUUUCACUCUAAAAUCAUUUUGCAAGAUAAUAUUUUACAAGGAACCUUUUGGACAUGCAUUAUAAGCGGUUACAUUCCCAUUGUCCUAAAAAACUCCCUGCAUAGUUGUACUCUAUUUUUAUCAAGCCAUGCUCUGACGCCUCCUGCCUGGUUGGCGAUAAUCCCUAAUGCAAAGGGAUCGUGUGAAGGUAACCAACCCCUGCCUACAUUUUACUCUGGAUUCCAAGAGUAGACUGGGCUUCAGGGACCAGAUGCCAGGGCUGGCACAUCUGCCUAAAACCCAUAAUUCUUGAACUUGACGUGCUCAGCCUCUCCAAAGCCGCGGCGCUGACACAGCUCCCCCUGCACGAGUGUACAGCAGUCAGACAGGAACGGGGAGAGGGGGCUCAACUUUCUGACGGCCACUUAGAGGCUGCCUGACCACAAAGACAGGACUGUAAAACAUAGACCGCAUGUGACCUGCUGGUGCUCGGCACUGACCCAGGGGAGGAGGGCCACUUGGGCUGGAAUGCAGUUGCUGGGGGCUCAUGAGGGGCUCAGUGGUGCCCCUGGCCACCGAGUCAAGCAGCGUAGAUUGAUCAGAGGAGCUGAGAGCUGAGGCCCACCCUCCCCUUUCUCCUACACAUGGACACCUCUGAGUGGAAUAAGGGAAGACUGUCCUUUCUCCAAGCUUGAAGGAAGAUGACUGUGACUCUUUUCCUGGACUUCAAGGCAUCGAAGUGUCAGCUGGCUGCCAUCCCAGCGUCUGACAGGGCAGCAGGAGAAAGAGGCCACCUGUAUCAUCCACCCGUGCUGCAGCUGAAUGGGAUCGGUGCAGCAUGAUAGAGGCCAGCUGCCCCGCACCAGGUCUGCGUGUCACAGGGCAGAGUGCAUGGUCUCCCUUCACGUGCGGGGCCAGGUGACUGCACAGAGUGAUGAGCUGGGCCCACUUUCCUGCUAUUGGCCGCCAGCAAAGAAUACAAGGGGUUUCCCUUCCCUUCCCUUCCCUUCCCUUCCCUUCCCUUCCCUAUCGACAGCCUUGCAGGGUGGUGGUUUCCUUUGCCCGGAGAGUUCAGAGGCCUUAGUUCUGGAAAGCCUCCUGUGGGGAGAUGGAGUGGCGGGGAUAGGGACCAGAGCAGAGAGGGCAGCAGCAUAAACAAAGAGGAGAGGCAAACUGUUUGAGCCCAGGAGUUUGAGACCAGCCUGGGC
rnacentral:lncRNA from 1 species